rnacentral:rRNA from 1 species
GGCGGCGUGCCUAAUACAUGCAAGUCGAACGCACUCUCGUUUAGAUUGAAGGAGACUUGCUCCUGAUUGAUAAACAUUUGAGUGAGUGGCGGACGGGUGAGUAACACGGUGGGUAACCUGCCCUAAAGUGGGGGAUAACAUUUGGAAACAGAUGCUAAUACCGCAUAAAACCUAACACCGCAUGGUGUAGGGUUGAAAGAUGGUUUCGGCUAUCACUUUAGGAUGGACCCGCGGUGCAUUAGUUAGUUGGUGAGGUAAAGGCUCACCAAGACCGUGAUGCAUAGCCGACCUGAGAGGGUAAUCGGCCACACUGGGACUGAGACACGGCCCAGACUCCUACGGGAGGCAGCAGUAGGGAAUCUUCCACAAUGGACGAAAGUCUGAUGGAGCAACGCCGCGUGAGUGAAGAAGGUUUUCGGAUCGUAAAACUCUGUUGUUGGAGAAGAAUGUAUCUGAUAGUAACUGAUCAGGUAGUGACGGUAUCCAACCAGAAAGCCACGGCUAACUACGUG